AUUGAACGCUGGCGGCAUGCCUUACACAUGCAAGUCGAGCGGCAGCGCGGGGGCAACCCUGGCGGCGAGCGGCGGACGGGUGAGUAAUACAUCGGAACGUGUCCUUUCGUGGGGGAUAACCAGUCGAAAGACUGGCUAAUACCGCAUGAGAUCUCACGAUGAAAGCGGGGGACCGCAAGGCCUCGCGCGAUUGGAGCGGCCGAUGUCGGAUUAGCUAGNGGCGGGGGUAAAAGCCCACCAAGGCGACGAUCCGUAGCUGGUUUGAGAGAACGACCAGCCACACUGGGACUGAGAUACGGCCCAGACUCCUACGGGAGGCAGCAGUGAGGAAUAUUGGUCAAUGGCCGAAAGGCUGAACCAGCAACGCCGCGUGAGGGAUGAAGAUCUAAGGAUCGUAAACCUCUGUUAGAAGGGACGAAUAACCCCAUGGUGAAUAA
rnacentral:rRNA from 1 species